rnacentral:tRNA from 1 species
GCAUCUGUAGCCAAGUGGUCGAAGGCAUCAGACUCAUAAUCUGCUUCUCAGAUGAGACAUCGCUGGUUCGAACCCAGCCAGAUGCA